rnacentral:rRNA from 1 species
UACGUAGGGCGCAAGCGUUGUCCGGAAUUAUUGGGCGUAAAGAGCUCGUAGGCGGCCUGUUACGUCUGCUGUGAAAUCCCGGGGCUUAACCCCGGGCGUGCAGUGGAUACGGGCAGGCUAGAGUUCGGUAGGGGAGACUGGAAUUCCUGGUGUAGCGGUGAAAUGCGCAGAUAUCAGGAGGAACACCGGUGGCGAAGGCGGGUCUCUGGGCCGAUACUGACGCUGAGGAGCGAAAGCGUGGGGAGCGAACAGG